rnacentral:RNase_P_RNA from 2 species
GUGGAGGGAAGCUCAGUGCUGAGGCUACAGACAGAGUGUAGGGGUCACUCUAUGUGCCUCAGGGAAGGUCUGAGACUGGAGCUCCUAGUUGCCCCUGCAGGGCAUCCCUUGGAUGAAGCGGGGUGGGUCCCCAUGAGAACUUGGGUCUCUGUCUAGAGGUGCU